UACGUAGGGUGCGAGCGUUGUCCGGAAUUAUUGGGCGUAAAGAGCUCGUAGGCGGUGUGUCACGUCGGCCGUGAAAACCUGCAGCUUAACUGUGGGCGUGCGGUCGAUACGGGCAUCACUGGAGUUCGGCAGGGGAGACUGGAAUUCCUGGUGUAGCGGUGAAAUGCGCAGAUAUCAGGAGGAACACCAGUGGCGAAGGCGGCACUCUGGGCCGGAACUGACGCUGAGGAGCGAAAGCGUGGGGAGCGAACAGG
rnacentral:rRNA from 1 species